CAGUGACGGGUGGAUGAAGAAGAUGAGCUUGAGUGGAUGGAGCAGAAUCUAUAUGUCGAGCACCUACUGUGUGCCAGAUACUUCAAUACAUUGCCUUAAUCUUCACACCCUUGUGCACGAGCUAUGACAGUCUCCAUUUUGCAGUUGUGUUUGGAGCUGGGGCUGUACAAGGAGGAGGAGAAUGAGAAGAAAGAAGAUGGAGGAGCAGACAUCCUGCCGGGCGAGAUAACACAAGAUGCUGACCACUGACCUCUCAGGAGGGUACCGUCCUUCAGAAACGGGUGAGCAUGGCUCCCCCAUCACCUCUGGCUCAGGGAACAUGGAGCUGUGGAGAGAAUGCGGACUUCAGACAGUUGUAAAGAGAUGGAUUUCAGCCGGAGUGUCUCUCUGUGCGGCCUCAUUUGUUAAGUGGGUUUAAUAAAACCUCUCUGA